AGUUACAAUCUUUACAGCUUACACUUGAGAUUCAAAAAUUUAGUGUUCCUUCAUUGAAAAGUUAACGUUAUUUAAAGCACAAAACUGCACUGAAAUUUUUGCAUAUAAAGAGUUGAAAAUAUGUUUGGCAAACUAAAGGAAUUCACUUUGAACUGGGGCUCCAAAUUGUAUCGCAAUUCGCUGAUCAUAUCUGUUUUGGCCAUACCCUAUCUAACAUUCAAGUGUCAAAUAGACAAACUGUCCACAUUCGAUAUUGGGCUUAUGUAUGCCAGUAUUGCAAUCGGUGUCAUCAGCUGUCUGGAGUAUGAUAUGCAACGGCAUUAAAAGGGAGGGUCACCUUUUGGGCAGUUGCCGGCCAGAUUGUUGGAGCUGGUGCUGGAGCACGCCAAGCCGAGGAGACACAGCAGCAAACUGCACACGAUUUUAUAAAACAUUUUGCGCUUAACAAUUGGCCACAGCUGUUCGUACUUGUGUUUGUUGUUGAUAAAUUUGUUGUUUAGUAUUUGAUUGUUGCUAUUUUUUGUUUUUGUUUUAACAAAUUAUGUAUUAAAAUAUGCAGCUGAGCGCUGAAUGUAGCAUGGA